CUGUAUGAUAAUAGCAUUAAAUUAACGUAAAUUCCAUAUUUUUCGAAUUGGUGCUUAGCGGGCUGAUAUGAAAAGUUUAUCACAUGCUUCGAUUGUUAUCACAUGCCUUUCCGUAACGUUAUCACAUGGCAUUCCGGUGAUACUCGGCAAAUUCCGGAAAAUACACCUCAAUGCUACGUUUUCAGUGAAAAACAUUACGAAAUAGUGAACAAAACAAUUAUUUAGAUACUGAAAAGUAUAUUGUGUAAAAUAAUAACAAAUAAAAUCAAAAAAAC
rnacentral:lncRNA from 1 species